rnacentral:rRNA from 1 species
AACCUUCACAAUGCACGCAAGUGUGAUGAGGGGAUCCUACGUGCUCAUGUUAUUCAUGGGCUUUUAUCAAAUGUAAUGAGUUUGGUGAAUAAGGGGUGGGUAAGACUGGUGCCAGCCGCCGCGGUAACACCAGCGCCCCGAGUGGCGGUCACGUUUAUUGGGCCUAAAGCGUUCGUAGCCGGUUUGGUAAAUCCUUUGUGAAAUCGUCGUGCUUAACACGACGGCGUGCAGGGGACACUGCCAAACUUGGGACCGGGAGGAGUCAGAGGUAUGUCGUGGGGACUGGUAAAAUGGGAUAAUCCACGAUGGACCGCCGAUGGCGAAGGCAUCUGACCAGAACGGAUCCGACGGUGAGGAACGAAAGCCAGGGGAGCGAACCGG